UACGUAGGGUGCAAGCGUUAUCCGGAAUUAUUGGGCGUAAAGAGCUCGUAGGCGGUUUGUCGCGUCUGCUGUGAAAACUGGAGGCUCAACCUCCAGCCUGCAGUGGGUACGGGCAGACUAGAGUGCGGUAGGGGGAGAUUGGAAUUCCUGGUGUAGCGGUGGAAUGCGCAGAUAUCAGGAGGAACACCGAUGGCGAAGGCAGAUCUCUGGGCCGUAACUGACGCUGAGGAGCGAAAAGCAUGGGGGAGCGAACAGGG
rnacentral:rRNA from 1 species